GUCACCGUGGCGCAGAGGUUUGCAUGUCCGUCUAUGACACCGAAGGCCUGGGUUCAAAUCCCGGUGUUAACA
rnacentral:tRNA from 1 species